rnacentral:rRNA from 1 species
AUUGAACGCUGGCGGCAGGCCUAACACAUGCAAGUCGAGCGGUAACAGGGGAGCUUGCUCCUGCUGACGAGCGGCGGACGGGUGAGUAAUGUAUGGGGAUCUGCUCGAUAGAGGGGGAUAACUACUGGAAACGGUGGCUAAUACCGCAUAAUGUCGCAAGACCAAAGAGGGGGACCUUCGGGCCUCUUGCUAUCGGAUGAACCCAUAUGGGAUUAGCUAGUAGGUGAGGUAAUGGCUCACCUAGGCGACGAUCCCUAGCUGGUCUGAGAGGAUGACCAGCCACACUGGAACUGAGACACGGUCCAGACGCAUGCGGGAGGCAGCAGUGGGGAAUAUUGCACAAUGGGGGAAACCCUGAUGCAGCCAUGCCGCGUGUGUGAAGAAGGCCUUAGGGUUGUAAAGCACUUUCAGUCGGGAGGAGGGGGUUGGGGUUAAUAACCUUAAUCAUUGACGUUACUGACAGAAGAAGCACCGGCUAACUCCGUGCCAGCCGCCGCCGUAA